rnacentral:rRNA from 1 species
GACGAACGCUGGCGGCGUGCUUAACACAUGCAAGUCGAUCGAUGAAGCCGGAGCUUGCUCCGGUGGAUUAGUGGCGAACGGGUGAGUGACACGUGAGCAAUCUGCCCUUGACCCUGGGAUAACUGCGGGAAACUGUAGCUAAUACCGGAUACGACACCUUGGGGCAUCCCAGGGUGUGGAAAGAAUUUCGGUCAAGGAUGAGCUCGCGGCCUAUCAGCUAGUUGGUGAGGUAAUGGCUCACCAAGGCGACGACGGGUAGUCGGCCUGAGAGGGUGACCGGCCACACUGGAACUGAGACACGGUCCAGACUCCUACGGGAGGCAGCAGUGGGGAAUAUUGCACAAUGGGCGAAAGCCUGAUGCAGCAACGCCGCGUGAGGGAUGAAGGCCUUCGGGUUGUAAACCUCUUUUAGCAGGGAAGAAGCGAAAGUGACGGUACCUGCAGAAAAAGCACCGGCUAACUACGUGCCAGCCGCCGCCGUAA